rnacentral:lncRNA from 1 species
UCGUUCUGUGAGUGGUCUGUAAGGCUCUCUCGGGGAGGAGAGCGGUAGGGGGCGCUGGGUGGCGCCCAGGGCCGCUGGAGUGCCCCCGGGAGAUGGUUACCCUCUGCGUUGCAGAAGACCCUGGCGUACUCACUGUCGCUUUAUUUCGUCUAUGUCACAGGCGGGAUCAUGUAGUUGUGGACACAAUCGUCCCAACCUCCCAAGGUUCCCUGGGUUUGGCCAUCUGUUUGUAAAGCAAAUAGAGCCGGUUUUUGAGACAAAAGCCUUUCACAAAUCUACCAGGUCAGAUUCCCUCAUGCUCAUGAGAGUGACCAUUAUUGCCACUGAUAAUAAGUGGUGAGUAUGCAUUGAUAGCACAUUUCACCAUAUAAACAAUCUAAAAAUAAGGAUCAUCUAUCCCUUCUCCCCCCCACCCUCAGUUUCUCUCUCUCACACAUACAGACAUCCUCUUUCUUCAUCCCCGUUGCUAUAGAGACGCUGUCUCUGUAGCUAUUAGGAGCAUUUAUGAAUCUAGAGUGCACAGAUGGCGGCCCUGGCCCACCUGAACAGGAGGGUGCUACGUUGUUGCUUUCAGGGCAGGAUUUGUAGCCCUAGGGGAUUAAGGAAAUGAGGUUACAUUUUACACACCUGCCCUCGUUCCAGAAACUCGACCCGUUGGCUGCCUAGGAGGAGAUUAAUUGACUCAGCCAUCCAGAAGAGUAGGGACACAUGCACACAACAGCCCUUCUCUACCUGAGCCUGGUUGUGGAAGAUUAAAUGAGGUUGCUGUGAUCUUCCAUCUCUCCUCCCUGGUGUUUGAUUAAUAAUAAUACUACUCAAGCCCCACAAGUAGGCUGCAGGUGCCUUGGAGAAAGAGAGCAGGUCUUUGUUCCCAGCACCUCACAUGGGGCCCUGUACACUGUAUCUUAGCAGUUUCCAAAGUGCGGGAGUCCCCAAGACCCUUUCAGGAGGGCUGUGAGGUCAAAACUAUUUUCAUAAUAAUACUAAGACAUUUUAGUUUCUAAUAUGGUAAGUAUCAAUAAAUAGCACACACAUAAACA